rnacentral:rRNA from 1 species
CCUACGGGAGGCAGCAGUGGGGAAUAUUGGACAAUGGGGGGAACCCUGAUCCAGCCAUGCCGCGUGUGUGAAGAAGGCCCUCGGGUUGUAAAGCACUUUCAGUGAGGAAGAACGCCUGGUGGUUAAUACCCAUCAGGAAAGACAUCACUCACAGAAGAAGCACCGGCUAACUCCGUGCCAGCAGCCGCGGUAAUACGGAGGGUGCGAGCGUUAAUCGGAAUUACUGGGCGUAAAGCGCGCGUAGGUGGCUUGAUAAGCCGGUUGUGAAGCCCCGGGCUCAACCUGGGAACGGCAUCCGGAACUGUCGAGCUAGAGUGCAGGAGAGGAAGGUAGAAUUCCCGGUGUAGCGGUGAAAUGCGUAGAGAUCGGGAGGAAUACCAGUGGCGAAGGCGGCCUUCUGGACUGACACUGACACUGAGGUGCGAAAGCGUGGGUAGCAAACAGGAUUAGAUACCCGGGUAGUC